rnacentral:rRNA from 1 species
UGAGGAAUAUUGCUCAAUGGGCGAAAGCCUGAAGCAGCAACGCCGCGUGCGCGAUGAAGGUCUUCGGAUCGUAAAGCGCUUUUGAGAGGGACGAGAUAGGACGGUACCUCUUGAAUAAGUCACGGCUAACUACGUGCCAGCAGCCGCGGUAAAGCGUAGGUGGCAAGCGUUAUCCGGAUUCACUGGGCGUAAAGAGCGUGCAGGUGGCUUCGUAAGUUGGACGUUAAAUCUUUCGGCCUAACCGGGAGGUGUCGUUCAAUACUGCGGGGCUUGAGGGUAGAAGAGGGGGGUGGAAUUGCCGGUGCAGUGGUGAAAUGCGUAGUUAUCGGCAGGAACACAUGUGGCGAAAGCGGCCCCCUGGUCUGCUCCUGACACUCAGACG